GAUGAACGCUGGCGGCGUGCCUAAUACAUGCAAGUCGAGCGAACGGACGAGCAGCUCGUUUCUCUGAUGUUAGCGGCGGACGGGUGAGUAACACGUGGAUAACCUACCUAUAAGACUGGGAUAACUUCGGGAAACCGUAGCUAAUACCGGAUAAUAUUUUGAACCGCAUGGUUCAAAAGUGAAUGACGGUCUUGCUGUCACUUAUAGAUGGAUCCGCGCUGCAUUAGCUAGUUGGUAAGGUAACGGCUUACCAAGGCAACGAUGCAUAGCCGACCUGAGAGGGUGAUCGGCCACACUGGAACUGAGACACGGUCCAGACUCCUACGGGAGGCAGCAGUAGGGAAUCUUCCGCAAUGGGCGAAAGCCUGACGGAGCAACGCCGCGUGAGUGAUGAAGGUCUUCGGAUCGUAAAACUCUGUUAUUAGGGAAGAACAGAUGUGUAAGUAACUGUGCACAUCUUGACGGUACCUAAACAGAAAGCCACGGCUAACUACGUG
rnacentral:rRNA from 1 species